CCACUCAGUACUCUCCACUGAAAAGAAAUCAGUGGGGGCCCUCCCACUGCCAGGAUUUAGAAGAGAUAUCCAUCCCUAUUCACCUUAGUCAUGUAAAUAUCCUGCUUCUGGGAUGACAUAUCUCACUGGUAUUACUUGGUAAGGACUGCUUCUUUAAAGGGUAUAAAGCCAUCGUACAGCAAUGCAAGAAUACAGCUUUCCUUAAUAUUAAUGGGCCUCUACUCUCAUUAAGGAGAAUCAAAGAUUGAAUUCUGAACCAAAACCUGGUGAAAAGCAGAUGUAAAACUUCUGAAAAAAGUUACACAACCAAAAAAAAAAUAUGAUGAAGGAAUUCUCAAAGAUACAAAUUUUUUUGUUUUUAAGAGUCCUUAAGAAAAGGAACAUAGACACAGCCUUUUUGCCUUGCUUAUUUGCUAUCUGCUUCUGAUUGUAGCUAUGGCUUUAAACUCAAGCCUACGGCAUGCCUCAAUGUGCCACAGCUUAGCUUUCAUUAACAAAGUUGCAGUUACUGACCAGCGAAGGUGAUGGAGCAAGUCCAAUUUGAAAUUUAUAAAGAAGUUAUGGAACCAUUGUGCUUUUUUUUUUUCUUUUUUACUACAAAAGAUAUUGAUGCUCUUAAUAAAAGUGACAAUUCAGAAGUGCUUACA